rnacentral:rRNA from 1 species
AACGAACGCUGGCGGCAUGCCUAACACAUGCAAGUCGAACGAGACCUUCGGGUCUAGUGGCGCACGGGUGCGUAACGCGUGGGAACCUGCCCUUAGGUUCGGAAUAACUCCCCGAAAGGGGUGCUAAUACCGGAUAAUGUCUUCGGACCAAAGAUUUAUCGCCUUUGGAUGGGCCCGCGUUGGAUUAGCUAGUUGGUAGGGUAAAAGCCUACCAAGGCGACGAUCCAUAGCUGGUCUGAGAGGAUGAUCAGCCACACUGGGACUGAGACACGGCCCAGACUCCUACGGGAGGCAGCAGUGGGGAAUAUUGGACAAUGGGCGAAAGCCUGAUCCAGCCACGCCGCGUGAGUGAUGAAGGCCUUAGGGUUGUAAAGCUCUUUUACCCGGGAUGAUAAUGACAGUACCGGGAGAAUAAGCUCCGGCUAACUCCGUG